CUUGUGACUGCGGCGAGGGGGUGGCGCAGGCUACAGAACAAUAGGCUGGUGUUGGAAGUGGGGGGAAGGGGGGAAAAGGGGCGCAUAACAAUGUGUGUGGCACCCACCCCUAAACUUCGCACCCCUCGAUGCCCGAUUGCAAAACUGCGCGUUUGCAAUUGCACCCGGGUGCAAAGCCUGCAGAGUUCAGCGGGACAUCGCUCCCAAGUAAGCCCGAGGUGCAUGCAUGCAUCUUAGCGCUGCGUGCAAGCAGAAGGUCCCACGGACGCGUUUACCUGGAAAUCAAGCCCCCAGUUGUGUGUGACAGAAAGAGAAAGCCGUGUAAAUAACUCCCCUAGGGAUGGGAAAGGCUUACGGCUGCCAGUCAGUGUAGGCAGCACUAAGCUCGAUGGAGCAAUAGUGUGUCUCAGUAUAAGGCAGCUUCCAAACUGGGGAGAGGGGGGUUGCUUCUGAGUAAACCGCCCUUCAACGUGCUUGGGAUUCUAAGAGUGGGGAAGGCAAGCGAUGGAUCCGUCGCUGGGCGCCCAUAUCACGUAGCGAGCAGGCUCCGCUGCAAACCAGUAGGGACUGUCCUCCUUAUAACGCGCUUUAGGAUGGACGAGGAAAGGAUCGGCGCAAGCCUACUGAAAAGCCCGUCCUAUUGUAUUCAAGUGCGGCUUACACCCAGAGGAAAACCAGCAGAUUGUAACCUUCAGGAAGGUCGUUCUUCAAACAUAGCGGCAGUCGAUGCUAUCUGACGGAGCGGGCUCUGGCCCACGGAAGAUGGCAAGGAGAGACGUCCUUCCUUGUUGGUGUUGGCACUGUUUUGAAGCGAAUUGGACAACGUUGGGUUUGGGGGAUAGCUAUGACCCUAGGUUUGAGUAGCAAUUGCUCAGUUUGUGGGGCACAGCAAAACCUGGGGGUUUCACUAAAAAAAUACUACAAAACAGCUGCAACAGUUUGGCACCAGUUUGGAGGGGGUCCCAAAUUUUGGGGUUCGUUAAUGUUAAGUACGAACCCCGUUUUUGAUGUAUCAGUUGCUCAGUUUGUGGGGUGCUGCAAAAUGUGGGGUUUUCGCUGCAAAACAACCUGCAAAACUUGUGACGCAGGUUUGGAGAGGAUCCCAAAUUUGGGGGUUCGUAGUUAAUUUUCCUGCGGAUAAGCCACCUUUGGAUUUGGUCUCCCUCUUAGAAUUGCAGCCUUGGUUGUUUAUCCGCUAAAUUGGUUGGCUAUUUGACCUUUUGUUGAACUUUGCCCUGAUAUCAGUAUUAGUGAAGGCUGGGUUAUCAAUCUUUUAAAUGAGUAAAUAAAGAUUGAUUAAAAGAUUUA